UCCACCGUAACCGCCCGCCUGACUCCCCUGGCCGCAUGGCGCUGCAGGGACUCACGGCCAUCCUUGUAGGACUCCGCGAGCCACCCGGGGCCAUCCCAUUAUCAUUAUUUUAAAAAAAGAACAAUACAUACCUUUACUUAAAAUGUUCUGAAAUAAUUUUUGGUGAUAUUUUUAAAAAGUUCAGUUGUGAUUCUCCCCCGUAGACAACAAUGUUGUAUUGUGAUAACAAAAGGAACACUUCUGGAAGCAGUUAUAGAUUUGGGACCUCCACUCUGUUCAUGUUUCCAGGAGACUUUGCAGAGAACAAGCACUUUCCUUUGUCAGGUAUAUGCGAAGCUUCCAGAAACACUUGGCUCAGCUGCUAGCUCCUUUGAUCUGUUCUCAGAAGCUCUGAAGAGGAAUUUGGAAUGUGGCAGUAACAAAGCAACUAUCACCAGCGUCGCUCCUGCCUGACAACCUGCACCCGGGAUAUGGUCUAGGUCCUCCUGACUGUCAUCUGUGUCACUGCAAGCAGAGUCUCUGGCUGAUGGUUCCUGCCGAAAUAAAGGCCAGGAGUCCCUGUAGCUCUUGUGCCCAUCAUUUGCUGAGCUGUCAUACAGUUACAUCAUGUACUGAGCUGCACUGUCUACUGGGAUCUGCAUCAUGUCCGACGUUGUGAUCAAAGGACGUUCCAGGGAACUUUGUACUUAGUCAGUGCAAAGCCUGUUUACAUGGCAUUCUGAGCUAAGCCCAUUGGGAAAAACCCCAGUGACUAUCCAACAACAUUGGAUCACAAACAUCUGACAUGAACAAACAGCAGGUUCAAGUUCGGUAUCUGGAAAUGCACGGUGAGACACUGAAAUGGAGAAUCCCAAAGGUAAUGAAGAACUUCAAGUGGCUAAGCAGGCUUUUUUUCCAGAGAAAAAUAUUUGACCUUUUAGUGACAUAGGAGGACAUUUUAGAGAAGUCACAGAAAACAUUUGAUACCAAAGGUCAGAUUUGCUGUGGCAGGGCUAAUGGAACUGGGAAGGUGGGUGAUCAGGAUUUGGAGCAGGUGGACAACUCUGAUAAGCUGUCAGCAUAGCACCGAGACCCACCAGCAGCGCGCUUACUGGGAAAGAAGGAGGAGCUGCAAGUCUCGACUUGGGUUCAAUGCUGCCUUCAGGAACAGGCUGCUGAACCUCUGAGUCUCCAUCUUCUCAGCUAAGAAUCGCAAAGGGUUUUUGGAAGUUUUCAGUGCUGUAAGAAACCUGUGUAGAGCCUGCAGUGUAGUGGGCACCACUUGGAGCAUGCUUAUUUCUCUUGCCUAUCUUGACAUGUUGGCAGUUGUUAAACAACUCAGGCAUGCUCAGUGAUGACACACGGGCAAUUCAACACCCGAUUCACCACUGCCAGGAGCUCUGUAGCUUUAUUUCUCUGGAAAUAAUUUUUAAAAGCAACAACAACCUAAAUUUUAAAAGUCUCAACCUUGCCUUGGUCACAACAAUCAAAACUCACUCUCAAGUGACGCAGCCCCGUUAACAGUCAGCAUAACCAAUCAGUGGGGAAAGACUCGCAAUAAGGAAUGUGUGUUCCUGGAAAGUCUCCAGCCUUGACUGCAACCUGUACUCAUCAAGCAGGUCCUCGCACUGUGACCUUCCAGCCACCAAGUGUUACUCCCACAGACCAAGAGGCACUGUGCAAGGCAUAUGGCACUUCCUGCUUCUGGCUUUUCAUCAAACACAGCCUCUUGGAGAACAACACUUCAGAUUUUAUGACUCAGCCCACUAGAACCUUGAGGAACAAAGCAGUUUCUUUUGUCUGUCUCUGUCCCUUCACAUUCGUCGAUUCUUCUCGGUCCCUCCCUGCAAACCCUCCCAACCCAUCUGUGACACGUGACACGGAGGCAGCACUGAUUUCUAAGGCUUUGCCCGGAUAAAUUCUGGUUUCGAGGCACAAACAGAAAAACUCAUUGUAUUAUAACGCCUCAAAUCUCUCCUUUUGAAAAAGCAAAAGCCAAUUUUGUGCAAGUAAAAAAAAUGAAUCAAAAAUAAAGAAAACUGAACACCAAUGGAAAAGGAUUUUGUAAGCCGUAGCCCAUUGGCAUUUCAUCCAGAGUGGAAGAGGCCCUUUGGUAGAUCUAAGAUGGGUCAUCAUAUUUACAACUUUAUGCUUGGAAAUAAAUUUCUCAGAGGUCAGUUAAAAGUGGUUAAGUCUGCCUUACCCAGAAGGAAGCUGAGAGCAAAGGAAAAUGUGGGAUGAGAUGCUACGGCAUUCCAAACAUCCCAGGCUACUGGCCAGAGUUAUUUAGGAUGUAUGAAGCUAGCUUUCUGAAAGGAAGUGGGAUUAGCUUACAAAUUAGAAAUCUAAGAGCAUGGGAUAAUUCUUUAAGAAGAUCAGCUGCCAGAUAAAUAUGCACAGCAGUAAAAAACAAACAAAAACAUUAGAAAAGGAAUUAAAUAGGAUUGGAGAGAGAGAGAUGGCUGAGUGUUUGCUGUACAAGUGUGGGGUCACGGGUUCAAUCCCUGGUACUGUAUAAUACGUCAGGGUGGUAGCCUGGGAGGUAGUGCUGGUGAGGCAGAUACAGGUAGAUGGUUAGUUGUUCUAGACUAAGCAGUGAG